rnacentral:tRNA from 1 species
GCCACCGUGGCCCAACCUGGUACGGCGGUGGAUUGCUAAUCCACUUUCCUCACGGAUUUCCCGGUUCAAAUCCGGGCGGUGGCG